rnacentral:rRNA from 1 species
CACGUAGGCGGCGAUUUAAGUCAGAGGUGAAAGCCCGGGGCUCAACCCCGGAACUGCCUUUGAGACUGGAUUGCUUGAAUCCUGGAGAGGUGAGUGGAAUCCCGAGUGUAGAGGUGAAAUUCGUAGAUAUUCGGAAGAACACCAGUGGCGAAGGCGGCUCACUGGACAGGUAUUGACGCUGAGGUGCGAAAGCGUGGGGAGCAAACA